rnacentral:rRNA from 1 species
AGAUUGAACGCUGGCGGCAUGCCUAACACAUGCAAGUCGAACGGGAGUAGCAAUACUCUAGUGGCGGACGGGUGAGGAAUACGUAGGAAUUUGCCCUUAAGUGGGGGAUAACCCGGGGAAACCCGGAUUAAUACCGCAUGACCUCGAAAGAGCAAAGUGGGGGAUCGCAAGACCUCACGCUUUUGGAGAAGCCUACGUCGGAUUAGCUAGUUGGUGAGGUAAUGGCUCACCAAGGCGACGAUCCGUAACUGGUCUGAGAGGAUGAUCAGUCACACCGGAACUGAGACACGGUCCGGACUCCUACGGGAGGCAGCAGUGGGGAAUAGUUGGACAAGUGGGCGCAAGCCUGAUCCAGCAAUGCCGCGUGUGUGAAGAGCCUUGGUUAGUAAGCUACGUUUAAGUUAGGGAAGUAAAAACUCGACUACUAACACAGUAG